UUUGUGUCCUCAUGCAUAGCAUGUGAAUGAGUCUAUCAUGUAUGCAUCCAUAGAUAAUAGAGUACAUAGGGAUUGGAAACGGGCCGUAGCAACAGGGAAAUGCUAGUUGAUAGUACCGUAAAUAAUUUCUCUAAAUACUCGUAUGUAAAAUUAAAAUGGCUGAAAGUUGAAAAAGGUAACCCUUCAAUAAUGUUUAGAGACAUUCUUCCUGUUUGCCCAAGCUGUCUGCUGUAGCAAUGUAUCUGUUUGUAGUUUAAAUUCAGUGUUUUAUGAAUUAGCAAUCAUU
rnacentral:lncRNA from 1 species